CGCGAACGCUGUCGGCGUGCCUAACACAUGCAAGUCGUGGGGCAGCAGGCCGGUUCCUUCGGGAACUGGUGCUGGCGACCGGCGAACGGGUGAGUAACGCGUGAGCAACCUACCCCGAGGAGGGGGAUAACCCGGGGAAACCCGGGCUAAUACCCCAUAAGCGCACGGCUCGCAUGAGCUGUGUGAAAAGGGUGGCCUCUGCUUUGCAAGCUGCCGCCUCGGGAUGGGCUCGCGUCCCAUCAGGUAGUUGGUGGGGUAACGGCCCACCAAGCCUACGACGGGUAGCCGGCCUGAGAGGGUGGUCGGCCACACCGGGACUGAGACACGGCCCGGACUCCUACGGGAGGCAGCAGUGGGGAAUCUUGGGCAAUGGGCGCAAGCCUGACCCAGCGACGCCGAGUGGAGGAAGAAGCCCUUCGGGGUGUAAACUCCUGUCGCCGGGGACGAUGCGAGGAUGGGUUAAGAGCCCAUCCUCGUGACGGUACCCGGAGAGGAAGGGACGGCUAACUACGUGCCAGCAGCCGCGGUAAUACGUA
rnacentral:rRNA from 1 species